AAACUUUCAACAACGGAUCUCUUGGUUCUGGCAUCGAUGAAGAACGCAGCGAAAUGCGAUAAGUAAUGUGAAUUGCAGAAUUCAGUGAAUCAUAGAAUCUUUGAACGCACAUUGCGCCCUCUGGUAUUCCGGAGGGCAUGCCUGUUCGAGCGUCAUUUC
rnacentral:rRNA from 1 species